GGAGAGUGUGUGGGUCCCACCCCACACACUUUCCCCAAUCCAGCCCGAGCUUGAAGAAGAGCUGCUGCCUCCCCACUCUCUCUCACCCCUCAAGCUCCCCCCUCAAAUCCUCUCCAAAAGGCAUGGCUUCAUCCGGUUCCAGGACGAGGCCACCGUGCGCGGACCAAGAGGACAUGCCGAAGACGUGGUUGGAGGCCAGUUUGGACAAGAAGAAGGAGAAGGAUGUGCCCACACCACCAUGUUGGUGUGGUGAUGUUUGCAAGCUGAAGGUGUCCACUGACCGCAACAAGUCAUGGACAGAAGGUAGAAGGUUUUUCGUGUGUCCCAACUAUGCACAUGAUCGUCGAAGGCCAACUAACGCAUAUGACAUACCACCGUCCCCUCCUCCACUUUGCAAGUACUUCACUUGGAUAGAUCACGAGGUACCAAAAGAUAUCCAAGAGGACCAACGUGCAGAUUGGUUACGG